GACCCCGUAGCUCAGGAGGAUAGAGCACGGGAUUCCUAAUCCCGGGGCCGCUGGUUCGAAUCCAGCCGGGGUCGCCA
rnacentral:tRNA from 1 species